ACAACGCUGGCGGCGUGCCUAACACAUGCAAGUCAACUUGACUGAAGGAGCAAUCUGACAGUAGAGUGGCGCAAGGGUGCGUAACGCGUAAGUAACUUGCCCAAGGUAAGGAAUAACGUCGAGAAAUCGGCGCUAAUACCUCAUAAUGCAGCGGAUCCGCAUGGAUAUGUUGUUAAAGGUUUACCGCCUUGGGAUAGGCUUGCGUCUGAUUAGCUAGUUGGUGUGGUAACGGCACACCAAGGCUACGAUCAGUAACUGGUCUGAGAGGAUGAUCAGUCACACUGGAACUGAGACACGGUCCAGACUCCUACGGGAGGCAGCAGUGAGGAAUAUUGGGCAAUGCUCGAAAGAGUGACCCAGCAACGCCGCGUGGAGGAUGAAGGUAUUCUAUAUCGUAAACUCCUGUGAGAGCAGACGAAAGACAGAUUAUUAAUCUGGAUGACUGUAUGCUCAGAGGAAGCCCCGGCUAACUACGUG
rnacentral:rRNA from 1 species